CCGACAGGGGAGCCCAGCUGGGCUGAGAGUGCGGACUAAACCGCAGACCCUCGAACCUGAACCGGAUAACACCGGCGGAGGGAGUCGA
rnacentral:ncRNA from 1 species